rnacentral:rRNA from 1 species
UAAUAAAAAUACUUGUUUGUUCAGUUAUAACAUAUUUAAUUUGAAAAAUAAUUUAUUAUUUAAGUAAAUUUUAAUAAAAUAAUUGUAAAUUACUAUAGUGUAUUAGUACAGUGAUGGAAUGUAAAUAAAAAUUUAUAAAUAUAGAAUGUUUAAAAUACUAUACCUUGUGUAUUAGGGAAAUUUAAUAUAAAUUAAUAAACUUAAGUAUCUCGAAAUAAAAACAGCUAGAUUUAUAGUAUUGUGCUUGUAGAAUAAAGCUUUAAAAUAUAAAUCUAAAGAUGAUAUGUUAUCAGAGUUUUAUUAUAUCUAGUUUUUUUGGAAUAAAAUUUAAUUUUUAUUUUAAAUAUAAUAAAUUUAAAAUUUAAUUAUAGGAGGGAGUAGCUUCUUAUAAAACUAUAAUUAAGAGUUUUAUAAAUAAAAUUGUUUAAAACUAGGCUUAAAAGCAGCCAUGUUAAAAAAGUGUUACGGCUUAUUAAUAACAAACUACUAUUUAUGAAUAACUUUGAAUAAAUACGAAAACUUUCUACAAACUAAAAACGUGUGAGCGAUAAUAAAUUUAUUAGUACAAUAUAAUGUAAAAAAUUAAAAUAUAAUAACUAAAGUAAUAAAUUGAUUAUAAUUUUGAAAUAUAAAGGAACUCGGCAAAUUAUUUUCUUGCCUGUUUAUCAAAAACAUGUCUAUUUGAAGAUAUAAAAAGUCUAAUCUGCCCACUGAAAUAAUAAUUAAAGGGCCGCAGUAUUUUGACUGUGCAAAGGUAGCAUAAUCGUUUGGUUUUUAAUUGAGAUCUUGUAUGAAUGAUUUGACAAAGAAAAUUCUGUCUUUAUACUUAUAAAUUGAAUUUAACUUUUAAGUGAAAAGGCUUAAAUAACUUAAUAAGACGAUAAGACCCUAUAAAACUUUAUAUGUUUCUUUAUUGGUUGAGUUAUAUAACUAAUAAAAAUUUAAUAAAAUGUACAUAUUAUAUUGGGGUGAUAUUUACAUAAUGAUUGGUAACUGUUAAAUUGUUUAUACAUAGUUAAUUGAGUGAAAUCCAAAAUGAUCCUAUUAUAAAGAUUAAGAGUUUAAGUUACUUUAGGGAUAACAGCGUUAUUUUUUUUGAGAGUUCUUAUCGAAAAAAAAGUUUGCGACCUCGAUGUUGAAUUAAAAUUUCUC